rnacentral:rRNA from 1 species
AACGAACGCUGGCGGCGUGCUUAACACAUGCAAGUCGAACGCUGAAGCACCAGCUUGCUGGUGUGGAUGAGUGGCGAACGGGUGAGUAAUACGUGAGUAACCUGCCCUUGACUCUGGGAUAAGCCCGGGAAACUGGGUCUAAUACUGGAUGCUACCUGUCACCGCAUGGUGGUGUGUGGAAAGGGUUUACUGGUCUUGGAUGGGCUCACGGCCUAUCAGCUUGUUGGUGAAGUAAUGGCUCACCAAGGCGACGACCGGUAGCCGGCCUGAGAGGGUGACCGGACACACUGGGACUGAGACACGGCCCAGACUCCUACGGGAGGCAGCAGUGGGGAAUAUUGCACAAUUGUCGAAAGCCUGAUGCAGCGACGCCGCGUGAGGGAUGACUGCCUUCGGGUUGUAAACCUCUUUCAGCAGGGAAGAAGCCACAAGUGACGGUACCUGCAGAAGAAGCGCCGGCUAACUACGUGCCAGCAGCCGCCGCGG